CGUUUUCGACCUCUCCUCUAUGGUCGAAACUCUCCUAGCUACCUCCGCCUUUCUGAAACCGUCGAAAUUACUUCAAUCAUCCACUCCUCUGCGAUUAAAGAUUUGAUGUGGUUGAUGGUAUUCAUUCAUAGCAAUAAAUUCAUCCGUCCAGCUUCCAAGCGUUCCUCACCUAUCUCAUACGCUAUAUAUGAAUGAUGAACUCUCCUAGGUGUACUUUGUAAGGUCGCUGGUCUAAUACCAAUAUCUCGAGAAGGAGAAUGAUGAUGUGGAUAUCAAAAUUAGCAAAGGCUGUCUGCUUCAUGACAGGAUUGACAUGGAAAGGCGGGCACGAUGAAGCUGCAGAUGGCACGAUGUACCUAAAGGACACACUUACUACUGAAGAACAGCAACAACUAACCACCUGUCUUUCCAAAGAUAAAGUAAAUAAUCCUCCUCUUCAUGAGAUCAUAAUCUCUCUAAAGUUAAUCUUUUAAUUGGUCUUUGUAUUGUAUCUGGUUUCUGAAUAGAGGAAAGAAUUAUAGUGGAAAACACUUACGGUUGGGGAGGUUGGGAAAUAAGCCAGAAAAUGCAACAAAAUAAGUAUCAAUAAGGAAAAAAGAGUGCUCUGAUUUUAUGAAACCAGUCAGAAACUACUACUCUUGGUUGUGUUGAAGUUAGCUUCAGUACUCUUGGUUGUGUUGAAGUUAGCUUCUUAAUACUGAGAGAAAACAAUGUACACAAUCUAUAGAUAUAUUAUAUUCGAUUUAUUAUUCCAAAGAAAACCUUAGAAAUCAAUGGGAUGACGUGAUCAUAGUCCAGAUUUGCCCAUGUUCUUUGCGUUACAUCGGUUCUUCUUCCGGGCUCUUUUUCCUGUACCACGGCUCUUGCUGCCCUUUUUGGAAGACAAAUGCAGGGGAUUGCAGAAGGUGAAGCAAUAGACAUGUCUCAAGACGACAGAUCAAUCUACUUACCGGAAAGAAGAAGAGUGGAAGCUUCGUCAAUGACGGUUACCUAAAUGGCAUUCUAUAAGUCACACAAGCUCUAGGCGAUUAGGACAUCACGAGGGUCACGAUCUACACUCAUAGCAUAGCCAGAGAUCAAACAUAUACGUUAACAGAGGAAGACGAGUUUUUGAUAAUGAGAUGUGACGGGAUUUGGGACGUUUUGACAAGUCAAGAAGAAGUGACAGAGCUUGCUUUAGAGGCUUCAAGGCUAAAUACAUUUGAUAACGUAUCGGGGGUUGUUGUUUGUUUCUUGUCGGCUGAUGAAAUGGUGACGACGGCUCCUCCGGUGGAGAAGCAAUGGUGUUGUAGUUUGACUGCAGAAGCCUUUUAGAGCUUGAGGGUCUUAUAGGAUGGUUGAAUAAAAAGAUGAUGAUGUUCCCUUUAGUGUUCUUGGUUAAGUUUUUUCUUGCUUUUGUAUAUAACUUUAAGUUUCUACGUGCUCCAUUUUUGUGCUCCCUGUAGUUCCCUCAUGAAGUUCAUGAGGAUUCAUUUUUGUAUAUAAAUGAAA